UAGGAAGAGAAAGUAUAUGGAAAUGAAAUAAAAGAGAAAUUGUAUACAUUUGAAGUAGUAAAAUAGUAAAUAGUCACUUCUUUGUUGCUUCAGCUCCCUGCUGACUAUUAAUCCUUUUGUUUUUCUCUAGUUUUUGGGGGUAAAAUAGUUGAGUUAGGACUAUAUCCCCAAAAUCACAUAUGAGCAUUACUUUUUAUGUUCACCUAAAUUUAUUUCGACCCAAAGAAUAAUUUUACAAAAGAAAAAAGGAAAUCAAAAUCUACAAAGGAACAAAAGAAUCACAUGAAUCUAUUAGGAGUAUGAAUUUUGCACUAAAGAGGUGCAGAGAAUGAAGAUCUAGAGAUGCUACCAGGACUGUACUCAACAAAAGCCAAUGCCCUCUCCAAGUUAGC
rnacentral:lncRNA from 1 species